CCAGCAGCCGCGGUAAUUCCAGCUCCAAUAGCGUAUAUUAAAGUUGUUGCAGUUAAAAAGCUCGUAGUUGGAUUUGUGGUUUGUGGUGGGUUCCGGGCACUUGUUGUCUGAGUAACUCGCCGCUGCCAUCCUUGGGUGGAACCUGUGUGGCAUUAGGUUGUCGUGCAGGGGAUGCCCAUCGUUUACUGUGAAAAAAUUAGAGUGUUCAAAGCAGGCUUACGCCGUUGAAUAUAUUAGCAUGGAAUAAUAAGAUAGGACUUUGUUGCUAUUUUGUUGGUUUGCGCAACGAGGUAAUGAUUAAUAGGGACAGUUGGGGGUAUUCGUAUUCCAUUGUCAGAGGUGAAAUUCUUGGAUUUUUGGAAGACGAACUA
rnacentral:rRNA from 1 species